rnacentral:rRNA from 1 species
UACAGAGGUCUCAACCGUUGUUCGGAUUCAUUGGGCGUAAAGGGUGCGUAGGCGGUCGCGUAAGUCGGAUGUGAAAUCUCAGGGCUCAACCCUGAAACUGCAUUCGAUACUGCGUGGCUAGGGUACUGGAGAGGAGACUGGAAUUUACGGUGUAGCAGUGAAAUGCGUAGAUAUCGUAAGGAAGACCAGUGGCGAAGGCGAGUCUCUGGACAGUUACCGACGCUGAGGCACGAAGGCGUGGGGAGCAAACAGG